UCCAGCUCGAGCCAGCCCGUCGCCUGCGCGCAUCUCUCUACACUUCUACUGCUUCAUACUCUCGUAGAGAGAUCCCGCGCGGCCCAAUAAAAACCCGACUCGCUAGCUACACUACACACUCGCAGAUGGCCGGCCUCAGGAUGAAGUUCGUCGCCGUCGCCGCCAUGGCCGCCGCGCUCGUGGCGUCCGCCGCAGCCGCCGAGGCCCCCGCCCCGGCCCCCGCCUCCGACGCCGCGGCCGCCGUGCCCCUCGCCGCGGCCUCCCUCGCCGCCGCCGCCUUCGGCUACCUCUUCUGCUAGAUCCGCGCUGGACGCGUGGUUUCUGCUUGAUUUGUGAUUCGUCUGGCGCGAGUGGAGUCCGUGUCGUGCGCGUGUCUGUGUGAGUUGUUUCGGCGGGCGUGUGUCUGUAUGUAUGGAGUCGGUGGCGGAGGAGGAGGUGUGCGCGUGGUGGUACGUGCGUCGACGCUCCAUUGUUUGUGGCGGCGAUCAUGUGCCUGCCCCGUUUUCUGGUUAUCAAUGAGAUGAUUUAUUUGAUUCUUUCCAGCCUGAGCACCAAGUGCACACAAUUAAUUUUACGGUAAUAUCGUGUGCCCAUCUAGCGUUCAAUCUGAGGUAUAAGAUUCUCUAUCUGCGGGACUGCGGCCAACGAAGGUUAUCUAGCGUGCAGUAUGAGGUAUUUGCGACCAACGAAUUUGUCUCGGCAAUUUCAAGUGGUUCUUUGCCUUCUGCAAAGAAAAAACGCUAGUGAUAAUCUGAUAGAUUAUAUGGCAUUUGCUGCAUGCCUUCAAUUCGUGCAUCCAAGUUCAGUGGGGACAAUAAAGAAAUAAAAAUACGGUAAUACAAUUGAGAAAUUUGGUCCGGCGAAGAAUCAUCUGGAUUGAACACUGGCAGAAAGCCGUCAAAGAAAAUGUUCAGAAUCAACAGAGCGUUAAUUUUUAUAGUCUGCAAACGGAUGCUGUGGCACCGAGUCCGAUAUUAGGCCGUUGGUUGGUUUUGAGGGCUGUUGAGAGAUCCAAAGAUCGAAAUGAUUGGUGUUGACAGCCAUGCGCCAUGUGGUAUGUCCGUAUAUGUGCGGCUCGCUCUUUCAAACUGGUCCACAGAUGAGUUGUCUACUUGUCUUCGUACCCACUGCAUCAGCAUGGCUGGCAGUCUUCGGCGGAAUCUGCCCAGCGCCCCUACCGACUGCAUCAACAUGGCUGGCAAUUGGCAUGCUGAAAGAAAGAUGGCGCGCUGGAAGCUGAAACAAAAUGGCGUGCCAUCGCCAUCCACGCACUGAGAUACAAGGAGCUCAAAGUAAACAAAUAAUAUAUAGUAAAUAAUCUACGUGACGUGCACUCUAGGGAGUGUUCGCUUCGUGUUAAAGCACCGCAACCGCUACGUUUUUUUAGUUCAAUCUAAAGCUGUAUUCGCUGCAGUUUUUUUUAUUUUAAUCUGCAGGGGUUCGUAAUAUCACACUGCACCGCUGUCAUUUCUGCAUUGAAAGAAUUUUUAAUGGAACGCUAUUUUUUCUUCGGGCCGACGGGCCAGUCCAGCUUCGGGCCUAUUUCCGCUGUCACGUAGAGAACGUGCAAAAUAGGCUCGUUGUGCUUCGGGCCUGGCCCAUUGAUCGAGCCAUUGACCUAAGCUCGCUAGUUCUAACUGGGCUCAAUGUGCCGCUGACUUUGGGCCAUGGCAAAGGAUGCAAUGGAGCGAACAAUCCGCACGUCCACAAGUUUCCUUUUUGAAAAAAAAAUAAAUUUAUUUUCAACUCUUUCUCUUAUAAAAAAUAGUUUUCGAAAGAAAACUUAAUAGACUUAAGCCGUGAAUAGGAUGGCAAUUUGAUCCUGAAAUCAGAUAUUCGUCGCAAUUCGAUUCCAAUAGAGCUAGAUAUCGAUAUAUUUUUUGACUUAUGAGUUAGACCUGUAUCCGAACCAAGAUCGGGUGGAUCCAGAUUAGGAUAUUAUAUCCCACCCGCGGGUUAUCCAUUGAAUAUCCAAAAUCGGGUUAUAGUUUUUUUGGUCAUAUAACAUAACAAAGAGUAAAUCUAGCUCCAUGAACGACUAAACCCCACGCCAAACACUCCCGAUUCUCCACCGGUGACCACCCCUUUUAGCCUUACUGGCUUGCUUCGUUGCGCCCGUGCCCUUUCCAAGUUGUGUAGGCCGCAACACCGCUGGCGGCUGGCCGAUGGCUGGUCUUUCUUGCUUGCAUCUCAAUCAUGUGGCGGUCACCUGCCUACCCGCUCUGGGCUCUUCAGUACAUGUUUUCAUCGUCAUUUCACACUUUUAUAUUGUGUGUUUGGUUUGUAGAGUCACUUUAUGCUUCACGAGGUGAUGCAUCAUAAGUUCACUCCAUCAUUUUUGGUAGAAUCAACCCACUCCUCAUGUAUAUACUAAUUAUUGGCUUAUGAGGGAUGAUGUGAUGAUGGAUCAACGCAUUCUAUUCCACACACCAAAUAAAAAAAAGUGAGAAGUGAGAAGAAGAUGGAUCACUUCAUUCCUCAAACCAAACACACUAUUAGUCUAGCGCUGGUUCCCCACUUCCCACUCCUUUUAGUCUAGGCCCCUUUCAUGGUCAUAUUGAGAAUAUUGCUUGUUAAAAGAUAUGUGUAGUUUUAUAAUUAUUCUAUUAUUAUUUUUAGCUACGUAUGAUGAUGAAUUGAGAAGAAUUUUAUGUCACAUACGAGGCAUAUUUGAAAUCCGUGGAUAUGGACACAAAUUUCUAUCCACGAGUAUGGGCCCGGAUAGAUAUUAUUUCAACUAUAGAUAUAUUAUGAACGAAUAUUAAUAUCAGGCCCGAAUUAGAUUCCUUGCUAUUCCUAGGCGUGACUACGAGUCCACGACCACGGAUGAAUCGCUCCAAGCGUAGAAUGGAGAGAAGGAAUAAAAUGAAGAAGACACGUUCGUAAUGAUGUUGGAAUUGGAAUAAUUGUACCGAACCGCCACGAGAUCACAACAUUUAUCUGCCGACGAACAAAUAUCUUGCCUCAAUACACUUGGCAAUCUACCAGUCUCGCUAAGGGCAACUGCUUCACACGAACUCGCUCAUCAUGGCGAGCACCUGCGCCAUCGUGGGCCGCUCCUCCGGCGCCUCGGCGGUGCACAGCAUGCCGAUCUUCACCAUCCCCAUCGUCUCAUCGCUACCCUCGCCAGCCACCACCUCAAGAAGCACCAUUCCAAAGCUGUACACGUCCGAUUCCUGCGUCGCCCGCGCGGCCGCGCCGGAAGCCAGCUCCGGGGCCGCGUACCCGUGCCACCCGCUCGACGCGGGCGCCGACGUCGUCGUGCCCGUGUCCCGCUCCAGGAACAGCUCGGGCGGGCACCGCGUCCGGGUGGCCUGCGGGGCGAUGGACUGCUGGAUGUUGGUGGCGUAGCGCAUGAGCCCGCACUCGGACACGCACGCGCCGCCGCGCUCGCCCAGGAGGAUGUUGGACGGCUUCACGUUCGCGUGCACCAGCGCCGGGCGCGCCGGGAACGUGUGGAUGUAGUUCAGGCCCUGCGCCGCGCCGAACAAGAUGCUCUUCCUCGCCGUCCAGUCCAGAUUCCUCGCGCCUCCUCCUGCAACGAGCCAGCAGCAGCAGCAACAGUCCGUCAAGAACAGACACUCACUCUCUUGCAGCAACUGCAUGCAGAUUGGAUAAUAUUUCCAUAGCGCACCGUUGGCUUGCAGAAGGGACUGGAGGCUCCCGUUUGGGAGGAAGUCGUAGACGAGCAGCCGCUCCCCGUUGGAGUUGCAGUACGCCCUGAGGCUGACGACGUGCCGGUGCCGGAGCCGGCCGACGAGCCGCAUGUGGCGGUCGAACGCCUUGCUCCGGCCGGCGGGGAACUGCAGCGCGCUGAGGCGCUUGACGGCCACCAAGACGCCGUCCUCUAGCACCGCCUUGUACGUGCUCCCGGACACGCCCUUGCCAAGCACCUCUGCGGAUGCCUUGAGGAGGCUGUCCAGCCGCAGCUCGUCGCCGCCCUCGAAGCAGACGAGCCCGCCGGUCUUGUGGCACCUGUCUUCCCCCUGGGCUCUCUUGUCUUCCUCCUCGAAGCACAGCCCCGCGUCGGGAGCAUCACUCGCGGACCGGAGCUUUCUCCUCAUGUAGACGAACAUGGCCACCGUGAUGGCCAGCGAAACCGUGACGAGCACCGCGUUGCCAAUGCCCGUGGCCAUGAGCGCAGUCAGGCUAAUCUUACUGAAUCCCCCGUUGCUAGAAGAAACACCCACACUGGCGUCCGGAGAUUCAGCGGCAGUAGCACUAGUGCUCGAGUUACCUGAUGACCGGCCUAGAGCAUCGUACGCAUGGACACAUUGUGGCAGAGGCGGACCACAGAGAGCAAGAUUGUCACCGAAAGCGGAGCUCGGGAACCUGGACAGGUCGCCGGAGAUCUCCCCGGCGAGCCUGUUCCCCGACACGUUGAAGCUCCUGAGCAUCGGGACGCGCAGCGCUUCCAGGCCUCCACGGAAGCCGUUGUGCUCUGCUCUCAGGGUGCGUAGAGCGGCCAGCGAGAUGCUGAGGCUUCCGCUGAGCUUGUUGUGGGAGACGAGCAGGUGCCUCAGCCACGGGCUCGCCGUGGAGUUGUCCAGCGGGGGGAGGGUGCCGGACAGGGAGUUGUUCCUGACGGCGAGCACCCUGAUUCGGCCGAGCCCGAGCAGCGGCGCCACGGUGCCGGCCAGCGAGGCGCUGUCCAGGAAGACCCCCGCCACCCUGCCCCUGUAGCACCUGACCCCGAACCACGUGCCGGUGCACGGGCUGGGGCCGACCCAGGACGCCAGGGCCGUGGCGUUCGGGUUGUACGCCUUGAAGGAGAGCAGGGCGGGAAGGUCCUGGUGGCCGCCGUCGGCAUGGUCACCGUGCACGUAGCGUGUCGAUAGGUAGACGAAGACGGCGAGGAGCAGUAGCACGGGUGAGUAGUGGUGGAGAUGAGGCAUUUUGGUUUUUGUAGUUGUUCUGAUUUUCGUCUGUGUUUGGGUUUGACCGAGAAAUCGGCGAGGUGAGCUUUUUUAUAGCGCGGGGCGCAGGGGUGACAAUUAUCUGCGCGGCAGCGCGGGCAAGUAGAAUUUUUUGAAAAGCACACAGGUAGAGCCGUGGAACGGCGACAGACACUGGGGUCCAAAACGGAAAGCUGGGUACCAGUGCCGUCGUGCAUGUCAAUGGUGAGGACUCGUCGGCGAUGUGAAAGUGGAAAGGGACGCCAUGGACGACAGGAGGAGAGGUCCAAGCGGAUGGGGGCGAGGUGGGAGGCGACAAGGCCCUUUUCCUCCUCGCCUUUGGGCAUAGAGAUCUUGGACGUAUUCGGUGGGUCGCCGUGACUGCUCGUUCCACGAUACGGAAACGGCCGCGAACGGGAGCGAGAGGGCUCGGGGUUUCAUGGCGCGUGGUGUAUCGGGUUCACGAGCGUGCCGAGGGGGACGAACAGCCGCGAACGUUGGCGUCAGGUGGCACCACCGCACCAAUAGGGAGACGACAAGAUGGUGAGAUUCCAUUCCAGCUGCAGUGCUGCACUAGUUUCAUCAGUGUUUCACUUUCACCGCGAACUAGAAAGACCAGAGACCACCCAACUGGGUUCAGAUGUCAUGUCAGGGCAUUCGUCCAUGCAAUGGGCCAGAAUCGGUGGUCAUGGAGCUAGCAGGCCUUGCCACAGGAUUAGAAUUCAGUCGGUGAUUACCAGAGUGUUUGGUUUGAGAAAUCAUAUCAUCCAAAUUAAGGUGGUGCAUUCCUAAGAUUUGAUGGGAUGACUUCAUUCCUCAUAUUAAGAUGAUUCUAUUUGGCUUUCUGCUCUGGUACCUAACCAUCUGCACACUCUUGUGAUAUUGACAAUUCCACUCGUUUUUUUUUUGGUCCGGUUUCCAUAGCACAAAUUGCUGUGUAAAAAAAUGACAAAGGGAGACUCUUUACACGAUCGUUUUCGUUUUGUAUUUUUUUUCAUUUGAGGCUGUUGCACAGUGCAUAAUAUUGAAUGUCUAGGCACAUAUUAACACGCGUUGUCACUACAAAUCGCCUUAGAAAAAAUGUCUCUCUCUUUUGCGAAGGGAAGAUGUAUUUGCUUAUAAAGUAAAGUUUGUGUAAGAUAAACAACCGGAUCCGUGGCGCAAUGGUAGCGCGUCUGACUCCAGAUCAGAAGGUUGCGUGUUCGAUUCACGUCGGGUUCAAAAUCCCGAUCCUAAUCCGGCUAUUUUUAAAUUUCGAGAAUUUUGCGGUUGGGCCAAGGUCUCAGCCAAAUUGCAGGUGCUGGGAAGCCACCACCACGGCACCACCUGCUGUUUUUGGCACUUCAUGGAAAUCUUCUUGAGGCGAGUAUCAAUCAAUCCACUUGGGGAUUUGACGCUCUUGAACUUUACACAUCAUUUUUCCUGUCUGUCGACGUCAUAAUCUUGGGAGUUCUUCUGUUUUUUUUUUUGCUUUUCUUGGUAUUUGCUUCGAAAUUUUAUUGUUCCUGCAGGUUGCCACUGGGGGUACGCAUUUGCCGAGCAUGGGUAUGGCACUGAAAUCGGGGGCUCCAAGGACGUCAAGGUGAAGAUAGAUUCGAGUGAUGGUAGUCUCAAGUGAAGUUUUUGUUUCUACAGUGUCCAUUAUUAUUAUUAUUAUUAUUAUUAUUAUUAUUAUUAUUAUUAUUAUUAUUAUUAUUAUUAUUAUUAUUAUUACUAGGUAAGUGCCCGUGCGUUGCAACGGGGACAUAUAAUACCACGAUAAUUUAUAUAUAAAAUGUGUGUAUUAUAUGUCUCCGUUGCAACGCACAGACACUCACCUAGUAGAUAUAUAACAUUCCUCGCCCUGUUUCUUAUUUACGUUAUAUAAUAUUUUCUCCCUCGACAACACGGGCAUUUUUGCUAGUCGUACCUAAAUUACCAAACCAACCUAGUUGCAACGGUACCAGAGCGUCCUUCAUGUUGAAAUUGUACAUUACCCAUUUGAAAACCACCAUAUUGUGAUUAUUAACCACAUGAUACAAAAUAGGCUUUAUUUGCGAGAUAAAGGGGGCUACUUCCAAAUUAUGAAUGCGCUAUUUGCAAUAUGUUGUUUCUACCAUGAUCGAGUUUAAGCAUAACUGAAAAAUCAGAAGCCAAAAACAGUGACACAAAUCUUUCGAAGCUAUAUUUAUCAGAGCAAGCUCCAUUCAAUUAAGAUACACAAGACCCGAUUCAAGGAAAACAAAGCCUACAUCUGUAGAUUAGCUUUGUCUUUAUAUCCACAAACUCCACAGGUCCAAGCAACGUAUACACCAUGCCCAGUUGCCUCAUCAGUUGUCUCAUCCGCCUAUAGAAACAAGCGAGCGCCUGUCUGAUGAGUCCUUGGCGUCACUGCAAAUUAGGUCUUCUAGGCGCAAGUUACCGGCACCCACCAAAUACUUGAGGUUUGAGUAACCGGCAGACUCAGAGUGGUCUAUCAAUCUAGCGAAAGCGAGCACCCUGUUACUUGGACAUGGCAGACACUGUUAGCGUGCAAAGAAAACAAAGUUGUUAACAUCAAAGAGAUAAAGCAUAUCCAAGGAAAUGAUUCAGAUGUGCUACAUGAAGCAAACUCUACUUUAUAAGCUGACAAAGAAAUUUCACCAUCAAAGUUGGCAUGUGUCUGCACUGCACAUAGACAAGCAAUACAUAAACUAUGCUUUGACUCAAGGAUCAAGAAAAAAAUACAGGAAAGGUAAUUAUAAUCACAUAGAGAAUGAUCUUCUGUAGACAAGCUACUUUUAGGCUGCAACAAAAAUAAGUAGUGCACUCCUUUAGUUCUAUUCCAGCCAGUGCGAAACUGUACAUUAUAUGCAUGCUCAAAAUUCAUAUAACAAAUUAAUAGCCAUGCAUGUUUCCUUCUUGGAACUGGACUGUGAUAAUGUCACCGUGUGUGAAGGAACAUGUGACCAACCAACGCUGACAUCAGAACUUGAGAUCUCACCAUAUGUAAUACCUAUCAUUUGUAAUUUUUUUAUGUAUUCUCCCCGGUAGUUCAAUCUUCACUAUACCACCAAUGCAAAGGGUUGGGCGUGGACGCUUGAAGGUUUGCAGCACAUUUUCCUAUCACACCAAAAAUAAAAUGGCAUUAGUAAAGUUGCCAAAUCAUUCGUUCAGUAAAAUAAACCUGUGAGAGCAGCCAAUUAAAUAUUAGUAAAAAGAAAUGAAGUCCUGGGACACUUUACAAGAUAGGCUGGAGCCUAACAGCAAUACAGCCACACACAAUGGAGCAACAAGAUACGGGAAAGAAGGUAGUGAAUCUGCAAUCCACAGACACAUAAUGAAGUGUUUUCUCCUACUGCCCAUCCACCGGCUCACCUCAUCUUUAAUUUUCUACAGCACUCGAAAACACGAUUUUCACUGCACACUUGCACAGGCACCUAGUGAUUUUACUAUAGCCCUGUUUCAUUGGUAGUGCACAUUUGAUUAUGAAUUGCAACCCAUCCGAAGAAUCUCAGUUGUAACUGAGGGAAGAUAAAUACAAUGCUUAGAUAUUCGGUACCAAGCCCCUUUUCUCUAGACUAUUUGACCAGUGAGAUACUCAUACUAAUUAUGUUACAAAGAAGGCAGAAGGAGAUUCGGCUAUUAGCGUGCAAAGAAAACAAAGUUGUUAACAUCAAAGAGAUAUCGCAUAUCCAAGUAAAUGAUUCAGAUGUGCUACAUAAAGCACAUACGUACAACGUGUAGCAUAAGAUAAACUAAGAUGAGUCAGACACAAACCUUCAAGAAUUUGAAGCCGUGUCUCAAGCUGUUCAGUAGUAACAUGGCACAAGGCCAUGUAUAUCAUACAAAAUACAAUUUAUGAAAAGUAAAAUUAUUUCCACAGUUCACGUACCUUGAGUCGACUCUUAGUACCAAUGGAGUUGUCCUCAUCAACACCAAGGGCAUCCUAUCGGAUAGCAAGAGUAGCUUUUGCAGAUAGAGUCCGAGAGUUUUUUCCAUUAUGCUUUUGAGAAGCCUUCCCAAUUGAGGAUGCAUGGUAGAUGAGCCAUACUUGGGUGUAGAAUGCUUUGUCUUUAGAGCUGUGAAUAAAUCCUGUAGAGAAACAUAACCUUUAGUUCUUAGUGGAGAAAGCAAAUUAUAGCAGACAACAUCAACAAAUAAAGUUGCCGCACGCCAUCAAGUAAAACCACUACAACAUUAUUAGUAAACAACCAAUUAAAAGAAAUAAGUAACAAAUAUGAAAUCCACAUGAUUUACAAGAUGUUAGACAGUUUUAGCAGACAACAUAAUUUGCUAAUAGAAGCGACCCCAAAAGACAUGCACCCAAAUAAUUUUUUCCAUUAUGCUUUUGAGAAGCCUUCCCAAUUGAGGAUGCAUGGUAGAUGAGCCAUACUUGGGUGUAGAAUGCUUUGUCUUUAGAGCUGUGAAUAAAUCCUGUAGAGAAACAUAACCUUUAGUUCUUAGUGGAGAAAGCAAAUUAUAGCAGACAACAUCAACAAAUAAAGUUGCCGCACGCCAUCAAGUAAAACCACUACAACAUUAUUAGUAAACAACCAAUUAAAAGAAAUAAGUAACAAAUAUGAAAUCCACAUGAUUUACAAGAUGUUAGACAGUUUUAGCAGACAACAUAAUUUGCUAAUAGAAGCGACCCCAAAAGACAUGCACCCAACUCCGACGCUCUUUCUUUGAGAACAGUCAUUGGCGCUUCUGGUUGUGGAGUAGUAUAGGCCAGAACUCCUUUCUGACACAAAGGACCAAAAAAUAAGAAAAUCGGCUAUAUAUAAUUUGAAUAGCCUUACAGGAAAACAAUUAAGCGAAACCUUGAAAAUCCCAGCCUGCGAUUUCUCCAAACGUAUUCCCUGCUCACAGGCAACAAAGUAAAUGUGUAACUUUUCAAAAA
rnacentral:lncRNA from 1 species